rnacentral:rRNA from 1 species
CCCUUGUUUGAUCAUGGCUCAGAUUGAACGCUGGCGGCAGGCCUAACACAUGCAAGUCGAGCGGUAGAGAGAAGCUUGCUUCUCUUGAGAGCGGCGGACGGGUGAGUAAUGCCUAGGAAUCUGCCUGGUAGUGGGGGAUAACGUUCGGAAACGGACGCUAAUACCGCAUACGUCCUACGGGAGAAAGCAGGGGACCUUCGGGCCUUGCGCUAUCAGAUGAGCCUAGGUCGGAUUAGCUAGUUGGUGAGGUAAUGGCUCACCAAGGCGACGAUCCGUAACUGGUCUGAGAGGAUGAUCAGUCACACUGGAACUGAGACACGGUCCAGACUCCUACGGGAGGCAGCAGUGGGGAAUAUUGGACAAUGGGCGAAAGCCUGAUCCAGCCAUGCCGCGUGUGUGAAGAAGGUCUUCGGAUUGUAAAGCACUUUAAGUUGGGAGGAAGGGUUGUAGAUUAAUACUCUGCAAUUUUGACGUUACCGACAGAAUAAGCACCGGCUAACUCUGUGCCAGCAGCCGCGGUAAUACAGAGGGUGCAAGCGUUAAUCGGAAUUACUGGGCGUAAAGCGCGCGUAGGUGGUUUGUUAAGUUGGAUGUGAAAUCCCCGGGCUCAACCUGGGAACUGCAUUCAAAACUGACUGACUAGAGUAUGGUAGAGGGUGGUGGAAUUUCCUGUGUAGCGGUGAAAUGCGUAGAUAUAGGAAGGAACACCAGUGGCGAAGGCGACCACCUGGACUAAUACUGACACUGAGGUGCGAAAGCGUGAGGA